rnacentral:sRNA from 1 species
CUGGCUGCAACAUCUGUCACAUGGAUCACCAGGGCCGGUUCAGCUGAUCUGGUUGGCUAGGCGGGUGCCCC